GCAAAACUCACUUGCUAUAUUUUUCUCUCUUUUGCUUCAAUACUCUUCCAUGGCUUCUUCUUCUUCUUCAUCUUCUACUCUAAUGAAGUAUCAUGUUUUCCUUAGCAGAAUACCCUUAAAUUAUAAUAGCAUAAGGAAAAAAAUUAAAAUAACUAGAAUAUUCUUAGCAAAAUUUUUUUUAGGUAGAUAAUUAUUGUUACUGUUAUUAAAUUUUAAUAAGAUUAUUAAUAUAAAUAAUAAAUAAUUUAAUCAUAUGUUAUAAAAAAGUUGACGAAUAUUGGGUUUGAAAGUGCUUCUGAAGAAUUGGUUGGAAUAGAAUAUCAGAAAAGGACGAUUUUUAAGCUGAUUAAGCAAAAAGACUGUCGUGUAAUAGGACAUCGGGGAAUGGGUGGUCAAGGCAAAUCAACCCUUGCUGAGGCUGUAUAUAAAAAACUCUCUUCAGAGUUUGAAACUCAUUGCUUUCUUCAAAAUGUUAGAGAGUAAAUAAAAAAAACAAGGGAAGGAAUCUUUACAAAAUAAAUUUCUUUUGGAAUUAUUGAACUCAAAUGUUGAUAUAGGCACCCCCUCCAUUGGAUCCACUUUAACUCAAGAGAGGCUCAACAAGAAGAAAGUACUUGUUGUCCUUGAUGAUGUUGAUGACUCAGACCAAAUAGAUUAUAUGGGUGUUAAACAUUUUGGUUAUGGAAGUAAAACCAUUAUAACAUCAAGAGAUAGACAAGUGCUCGAGAGUGGAGGAGCUGACACAAUACAUGAGGUGAAAGGGUUAAAUGAGAACAAUUCUCUUCAAGUUUUUUCUACCUCUGAGUUUAAGCAGUUGAAUCCCGCAGUUGGUUUUGAAGAUCUAUCCCGUAGGUUUGUAAAGUACACACAAGGCAAUCCACUUGCUCUUAAAGUAAAAGAUAAUGCGGCGUGCAAGUAACACCAGUGUUGACUAAAGGAUAGUUGGCUAAGCUCAAGUCGUUGCCUGUGCUUUUGCCUAGGCCUUCAAUCUCUUUCCCAUUUACACUUUUUCUUCUUACAAUAAUACCACAACCCAAGCAAAACUCACUUGCUAUAUUUGUUCUCUCUUUUGCUUCAAGCACACUAUCAAUACUCUUUCAUGGGUUCUUCUUCUUCAUCUUCUACUCUAAUGAAGUAUCAUGUUUUCUUGAGCUUCAGAGGUGAAGACACGCGCCUUAAUUUCACCACUCACUUACUUCAAGCUUUGAAAGACGAGGGACUUGAUGUUUUCUUCGAUGAAGAAAAACUGGAAAGGGGGGACCAGCUUUCACAAGCACUUUCUCGAGCAAUUGCAGUCUCAAAUAUCUCAAUCAUCGUUUUGUCUGCAGACUAUGCCUCUUCGAAAUCAUGCUUGGUUGAACUCUCUGACAUCAUGGACCGCUAUAGCGUCGGACAACAUACUGUUCGUCCCAUCUUUUACCAUGUUAACCCCUCUGAUGUGGUGAAAAUUGAUGGGAGUUUUAAGAAAUCC
rnacentral:lncRNA from 1 species